rnacentral:rRNA from 1 species
GACGAACGCUGGCGGCGUGCUUAACACAUGCAAGUCGAACGGAAAGGCCCUGCUUUUGUGGGGUGCUCGAGUGGCGAACGGGUGAGUAACACGUGAGUAACCUGCCCUUGACUUUGGGAUAACUUCAGGAAACUGGGGCUAAUACCGGAUAGGAGCUCCUGCUGCAUGGUGGGGGUUGGAAAGUUUCGGCGGUUGGGGAUGGACUCGCGGCUUAUCAGCUUGUUGGUGGGGUAGUGGCUUACCAAGGCUUUGACGGGUAGCCGGCCUGAGAGGGUGACCGGCCACAUUGGUACUGCGAUACGCCCCAGACUCCUACGGGAGGCAGCAGUGGGGAAUAUUGCACAAUGGGCGGAAGCCUGAUGCAGCAACGCCGCGUGCGUGAUGACGGCCUUCGGGUUGUAAACCGCUUUCGCCUGUGACGAAGCGUGAGUGACGGUAAUGGGUAAAGAAGCACCGGCUAACUACGUG